rnacentral:lncRNA from 1 species
GCUAAAUUUCAUAAUCAAUAUUAUGUUAGUAACAAGGGAAUGUAAAUAGUCAAACCACAAGAAGUUAAGUACAUUGUAAAUUCUGUUUGAAGAAUACUAUAUAAGACAGACCAAAUUCUUAAUGUCAUUAUUUCUGGAGUAACUUCGUAUCUUAAAAGUCUUCCAGCAGAUUUAUACAAAUCUUCCAUUAUGAACAAAUUAAUGUUGGUGUUACUCCUGGUGAGUUGUAUCACCAUGGUUAUCGUUCCUGAGGUCGCUGAAGCUCAGUGGCAUGGCGGCGGUAGACAGUGUAAAUGUAGAUAUCGUAGGUGUUACUAUGGAGAAUACCCACGGGGACGCUGUGGUUACAGGACUCUUUGCUGUAGACGACGAUAUUAUGGCUAAUAAGGAAUGAAGUCCAAUGGUUGCAACUUGAUUUGGUCAAACUUUAAAACCUUUGAUGAAGGAUUAGAAACUACUUUUUUCUGAACUAAAAUUUCAUGUUCACAAUUCCUUUAAAAAUAAAUGGCAAGAAAUCAAAUAGUAAA